rnacentral:lncRNA from 1 species
GCGCCGGACAGGAAGUCCCUUGUGCGUUUCCGCAAUACGGAAGUGAGCGGAGCGCAGUCGUGCUGAACCGAGGAAGGGCUGGAGACGUUUAUUUACUACAACUAAAUGAGGCUGUGGAAGUAAACAUUAACCAGGAUUACACCCACGGCAACCCUUGGCGAAGCAGGCGACGCUGCUGGUUCUUUGCCCGAAGGCUCAGCAUGGAGCCGACUGCUUCCGGCAUGUUCUGCGACAGGAUGCUCAGCAUGGUCAAUUCUGAGGAUGUGAACGCCAUCAUCCAGGCGCAGAGGCACAUGUGAGUACGAUGCGUGGCUCUCGUCUAACUGCACUGUAAUUCUGAGAAUAAAAAAACCGUUUUGUCAGAUGACAUGCAGAUAUAUCUGUGUUGUAUAACACAGGAAUU